GGGGGCGACAUGGCUUCGACGUGGGUCACAAAACCUGAGGUGCAUGCCGAGGUGCGGGAAACCUCGUUAAUCUAUCCGCAAACCAAUAGUUGCCAACGACGACAACUACGCUCUCGCUGCUUAAUCCCAGUGGGCCUCACACCGCCGUUUGCUGAUGGGCGACGGAUUCGUGGGGUAACAUCACACCAGAUCGCGCUGCCGCCUGCUCGGAGCGGUGGUGCUAAAACUAACGAGAUCGCUAACCAAUUGCCCUGCUCCUCGGGCGCUGGUCGGUUAAACACAAUAGAGUUGAGCUAAGCAUGUAGUACCAACGGCGGAGGAUUUGCGGACGCGGGUUCGAUCCCCGCCGCCUCCACCA
rnacentral:tmRNA from 1 species